rnacentral:rRNA from 1 species
UACGUAGGGGGCAAGCGUGGUCCGGAUUUAUUGGGCGUAAAGAGCGUGUAGGCGGCCUUGCAAGUCCGUUGUGAAAACUCGAGGCUCAACCUCGAGACGCCGGUGGAAACUGCAAAGCUAGAGUCCGGAAGAGGAGAGUGGAAUUCCUGGUGUAGCGGUGAAAUGCGCAGAUAUCAGGAGGAACACCCGUGGCGAAAGCGGCUCUCUGGGACGGUACUGACGCUGAGACGCGAAAGCGUGGGGAGCAAACAGG